rnacentral:lncRNA from 1 species
GGAUUUUCUUUAACAUUUGCAACGAUAACUUCAAUUGCAAUUGGAAUCCAAAAAGAAUAAAGAAGAACUAUGAAAUUGAAAGCUUGGAUCGAAUUCGAAUCCAAGUUAAACAAGAACAAAAAUUGUUUUAAGGACUAAAUUGAAAGAAAAUGAAAAUUAAAGUAAAAACCUAAAUUUAACUAAGUGGCUCACUUGGCCAAGGCUCCCAAAAUGAGGCUAAACAUGUCUAUUUAUAGAGUUUAUGCUCUGACCAAAUUAGAGUUGCUUGACAAUCCAAAAACCUAAUUACAUUUUAUUAUGUGGACUAAACUACCUAUAAUUAAAAUUUCUAAUCGUCACUCAAUGGGCUUAGAUGUCUACAUAUAGUUUGAAGAUCAUCUCUUAGCUUCAAAAAUCACUUUGAAUCACUUGAUUUCGAGUUCGGGAGCUCAAGUUAUGACCAUUUUAGUGAAGAUUGCGCGAGCAAAAUUUCUGGACGAGAUUAUGACGAAAAUUACGAAUUUCGAGCUUUUAAUUCGAGUUUAAAUCAUUUUUGGUUCAGUUUUUAGGCUUAAUUUUUAUUAUAUAUGGGCCCAAUAUUGUAUUUUUUUAGGUUUUAUUAUUUUUAUUAUUUAUUUAUUCUGAAUUUUGGAUAUUAUUUAAGUAUUUCAAGUUGUUUAGGAGUUUUUGUUUCAUAGUCAAACAAGAAAAAUUAAUUUAAAACUAUUUAUUGUUUUAAUUAAUUAGAAUUUUAGUAUACUUUAGAGUUUUAUUUGGAUGUACUUAGCUAACCUAUAUAAAGACUUCUUCAUUGUUCAUUAAGUAGACACCUUUUUUUUUAUUAAUAAAGUUUUUAACUCUAUGAGUUAAUUUCUUUGUGCAAUAUUUUCUUCUCGAUUUUCUUUAAGGGGUAAUGGGAAUUCAUUAUUCACCCUUCAAUUUGCCAAGUAUUAUUUCUUGGAAGGCUGAUUAGAACCAUUAAUUGAGUUUGUUGGGAUUUAUAUCUCAAAGGGUUCAAUGAGACAUUUAUCAUUUUUAUCCAUCAUAUCCAUCGAUUUAUCAUUCCAUCUUCCACUUUGUCUUUUUAAUUUAUAUUUCUUAUUUAUUUAUAAUUUUUUAUUUAUUCUUUGUUCUCAAAUUUCUUAUGGUUUAAUUUAUUAAUUUGGGAAAAAAAAUUAGAUGUUGGCGUGAUCCUUGGACUCCAAACGUGGGACCUUUGGUUUGCUUAAUUCCCGGACAUUCUAAUAUGGAUAUGGAUUGCAUGCUAAGUGAUAUGGUCUCAGGGAAUGGUGAGUGGAAUAUUGACCUCUUUUAUCUUUGGCUACCAGAAGACAUAAUCACAAGAAUUGCUGGGAUUCCGCCUGCCCACUCGAUUGCAGGAGUUGAGAGGAUUAUAUGGGGGAUAACUUGGCAAGUUGCUUCUCAAACAAGAAUCCUUACAGGAAAUUACGGGAAGGAACAUUGAAUUAGAAAGAAUCAAGAUGGCACAUCCCCUGAAAAUUUCAAGGACCCCAACGGGUCAGGUUCUUCACCUGGCUUGUUCUUAAACCACUGAUAGCAUAGAACUAAAUUGUUACAUACCAUAUUUUUGUAAAAUAAAAUGUAAUUAUACUUCAAAUUUUAUAAUACGAUCAUUAUGGGUUAAUUUAUUAAUUUGUGUAUUUUAAAAUUAACUUUUUUUUUAUAUAUAUGUUAAUUUAUAAUUAGUUUCCAUCAUAUAUAUAUACGUUUUUAUUUUUAAUUAGUAAAAUUAUUAGUAAAAAUUUGCAUAAAUGAUUGAUAGCUAUUAACAAAUUUAAUAUUUUAAAGAUAAAUAAUUAUAAAUUAAUAAUAUAUUUUGUUUAACAUAUAGAAAAUGAUAAUAUUUUGUAAUCAAAUAAUAAUAAAGAGGUAAACACUCCAUAACUUAGUAAUAAAUAAUUUAUAACACAGGUAAAAAAUAUUAUGGACAAAAAAAUUAAACAAUAAAUAUAAUAUAAAACUAAAUCGUUAAUAAGAAUAUAGUAAUAAACUUUAUCAUUAUAAUUAUAAAAAUCUAUAUAAUUUAUUGAUUAAGUAGAAUGUGUAUAUAUUUUUAUGAAUAUUACCUAAUUGAAAAUGAAUUCUAACUUAAUGUCUAAUUGUAAAUACAUUAUUUUAAUUAAUAAAAUAUUAUAAAUUCCACAUUUUUGAAUAAUUCACGUAGAUAAAAUUUUUAAAAUAAAGAAAUAUUAAAUAUGUUUUUCUAUUAAUAUUAAAUUUUAAUUGUUAUGCCAUGUUUUAUUUAUAUUUUGGAUUUAAAUGUAUAGUUUUAUAUUAAUAUUAUAUAAUAAAAAUCAUUUUAAUUAUAUUUCAAUAAAAAAUAUUGAAUUAAAUUACAUACUAUAAUUUGAUAAUAUCUAGUACCACGGGAGAAUAAAACAAAUACAUACAUAGAGAGAGAGAGAGAGAGAGAGAUCUCACCAGAAAUGGGGCACAAGGCAUCACGCCGUUUUAAAGGUGGUUUUGGAAGACUUAAGGCUUAAAAUGGAUUUGAAGGUGUUGAAUUCCAUGCAAAGCCUUUGUCAAAUCAAUAGCCUCUUGCUUCAAACCUCAUUUUCGCUCUCAGAUCGACCUUAGACUUUACCACCUUAUUCUAUAGGAACUUCAUUUCUUUCUUUCUCCUUUGUUUUUCUAUAAUGUUUGCUAAAGCUAUCUCAAUGCUGUAAUUUUUUCUACACAUUGAAACUAAUCUAUAUAUGUAAAGUCAACAGGUUUAUCCACGAAUUGGAGAAAAAAGACAACUAGUUUGACAAGUAAAUUAAGAAUCACACACAACCUUAUAUCUAUAUAUGCACAAAUAGAAAGUGUUUCAAAGCUUUCUAGUUGGAUUUUCCUAUAGGAGAAGCAAAGUAGCAAUCAGCAAUGUCAAGUCAAGCUAAGAGUAAUUUGGGUUUUAUAUAUGUAUGGGUAUGCUUCAAGUUCAACCCUUGCUAACUUGUAAAUGAGGAAGAUGCAUGAGCUUCAUACCUUCAAAUGGCUUUAACCAUGGCGGAGAACCCAUCAUACAAAUGUUAAAGUGAUGGGUCACAACCAUUCUAAAAUUGGAUAGUAGGAUGGUCCCUUUGUUUGGAUGUCUAGGUUAUAGACUUAUAGUUUGAUUUGCACGAUAUUAUUAAUCAAAAUCUGCCUAAAGCUUAAUCAAAUCCUGUUUACAGUCAUCAGAUUUGAACAACCAUGUAUCCUCAAUCAAAAGACUAGGACUUCAAAUCUAAAAUAAUUCAUUUCAUGAAUGCGCCAUAAGCUAUUAAUCUUUAUAGAAUUCACUUAAGAUGCCGAAAGGCAAAAGCAUGAACAAAAGACCUCAAGUUGAAGUAUACUGAAACCUCGUGGUUCCUUCCCUGAUUCAGAUGGUAAAUGGUAACAUCAUGAAAGGUGAGUACUUGAACCAAUCAUAUGGUAGUUUGACAUGUUUCCUUUAGUUGCUAACUUGCACUGAACCUUACAGUCAUCCAGCGAAGCAACCGUAGUAGCUAACGGAAAUCACAAGGUUAUACACACCUACCAAUACCACGCAUGCCUAUUCAAAGUUCAAACCUAAAAAGAAAAAGUACCUAGAUCAUAUAUGCAGGUUCCCAUAGGAAUAUGUGAAGAUCAAAAGGGUAACUAAGCAAAGAUGGAAUUGGAAUAGAUAUAUGGGUUCAGUAUGAGUAUGUUAUUUCAACUAUGUGUUGAUUAAACCCUGUUAUAAAGAUGUGUUCAAGGUCGAACAGACAACGAAAGAAAGGAUUAACCCGCAAAAGGCUGCUCACUUGACAAGCAUGGCAUGGAAAUCACUCACCAAUUAGUGAUUGAAAAAAAUCUCCAAUUUGCUAGUUAACUCCAGGAAUCUCUCUCUGCAUAAAACAGUGGAAGAAAAAAAUUGGAAAGAAAAGAAAAGGAAAAUAAGGAAGCAUGAAGCUGUGCAACUGCACCGAAAGGGAGUUUGAUAUGAUGUGUUAGAGCGUAAAGGUGAGCUUGAUUUAUAGAAAUGAAC